UUACUUCAUGGAGAGUUUGAUCCUGGCUCAGGACGAACGCUGGCGGCGUGCCUAAUACAUGCAAGUCGAGCGGACCGAC
rnacentral:rRNA from 1 species